rnacentral:tRNA from 1 species
GCGAGGAUGGCGGAAUCUGGUAGACGCGGUGGAUUUAGGUUCCAUUGGCCUCGGCCGUGGGGGUUCGAGUCCCCCUCCUCGCA